CCCCUGGCGGUCUAGUGGUUAGGACUCAGUGCUUUCACCGCAAGGGCCCAGGUUCAAUCCCUGGUCAGGGAA
rnacentral:tRNA from 1 species